AACGAACGCUGGCGGCAGGCUUAACACAUGCAAGUCGAACGCGAAAUCACCUUCGGGUGGUGGAGAGUGGCAGACGGGUGAGUAACGCGUGGGAAUCUACCUGAUGGUACGGAAUAACUCAGGGAAACUUGAGCUAAUACCGUAUGUGCCCGAGAGGGGAAAGAUUUAUCGCCAUCAGAUGAGCCCGCGUCGGAUUAGCUAGUUGGUGGGGUAAAAGCCCACCAAGGCGACGAUCCGUAGCUGGUCUGAGAGGAUGAUCAGCCACACUGGGACUGAGACACGGCCCAGACUCCUACGGGAGGCAGCAGUGGGGAAUAUUGGACAAUGGGCGCAAGCCUGAUCCAGCCAUGCCGCGUGAGUGAUGAAGGCCCUAGGGUUGUAAAGCUCUUUCGACGGGGACGAUAAUGACGGUACCCGUAGAAGAAGCCCCGGCUAACUUCGUGCCAGCAGCCGCGG
rnacentral:rRNA from 1 species